GAGUUCCCAUCAUGGCUCAGUGGAAGCAAAUCUGACCAGCAUCCAUGAGGAUGCAGGUUCGAUCCCUGGCCUCACUCAGUGGGUUAAGGAUCCAGCAUUGCCUUGAGCUACAGUGGAGGGUGCAGAUCUGGUGUUGCUCUGGCUGUGGCGUAGGCCAGCAGCUAUAGCUCUGAUUCGACCCCUAGCCUGGGAACCUCUAUAUGCCGUGAGUACAGCCCCAAAAAAAAAAAAUCUAGUUUGGGUUUGGAGAGCAGCCAGGGUUCUUGAUAUUAGAAAAGCAGACAAAACAGUUCCUGAAGGGAACUGUCAUUACAGCCACCUCUGUGAAAGUGGAUUAAACAACUCUCAGCACCCUCCCAAUGUUCCUGUCUUAGAGGUGAGGCCUCCAAGGACAGGGACUAUCAUACAACAAAGAUGAAUGUUAACAAAACAGUGCUAACUAACAGUGAUUUGACUUUUAACUUUCCAUUUUCUCCUUUAAUCUUUACAUUUUCUCUAUAUUUUAAAAUAAACUUUCCUCGGAGAUACUGUCGUGGCGCAGUGGUUAACGAAUCCGACUAGGAACCACAAGGUUGCGGGUUCGAUCCCUGGCCUCACUCAGUGGGUUAAGGAUCCAGCGUUGCCGUGAGCUAUGGUGUACGUCGCAGACGUGGUUCAGAUCUGGCGUUGCGGUGGCUCUGGCGUAGGCCGGUGGCUACAGCUCCGAUUCGACCCCUAGCCUGGGAACCUCCAUAUGCCACGGGAAAAUUCAAGUCCUCACAACUUAGCAUUUCCUUUAUAUCCAGGCAACCUGAGAUGAUUCGAGAACUGGUUAGGGGAACUGAGGGCUGCCUGGUUUAUUUGCCCUCCUCAUUUGCCUGCUUCCUGGUAUCUGCUCGUCAGACUUUGCUGGGUGAUCAGUUUCAACCUGAGCAAGGUGAGGGCUGAGCACCCAGGGUCCCCACCAUGGGCUCAGAUAACACAUUUGACGGGACAAAUAAAGGAGGCUUGAGAAUUCAAACGCAAAAGGUUUGAAAGACACGAAGGCUAGUAGGUGCUCUGCUUUUUCGCCUCUUAAUAUACAGGCAGAGUAUCACAGGGACCGGUUCCAUGAAGGGCAACAGUCCCCCAAAUCUCCCUCCUACUCCUGCCACGCAAAGUGCCCAGCUAACUGUCCCUGUGCUCUGAAUGAGGUUUUCCCAUCUCUUCAGCAGCAGAGGUAUUCUCAUUACAAACUAUGAUUUUAUUUCUGACAUGAGGCUCUCUUGGCUUCUACCUCAGAAGAAGGUAGAAGCCAACAAUUCACUUGCCAACAAUUCACACGCUGCCUAAGUACAAACUCGGGUACCCAAGCACAGACUCCUGGUUUAAAAUGCUUGACCAAAAAAAAAAAAAA
rnacentral:lncRNA from 1 species